rnacentral:rRNA from 1 species
GCUUAGGCGUGUGACUGCGUACCUUUUGUAUAAUGGGUCAGCGACUUAUAUUCUGUAGCAAGGUUAACCGAAUAGGGGAGCCGAAGGGAAACCGAGUCUUAACUGGGCGUUAAGUUGCAGGGUAUAGACCCGAAACCCGGUGAUCUAGCCAUGGGCAGGUUGAAGGUUGGGUAACACUAACUGGAGGACCGAACCGACUAAUGUUGAAAAAUUAGCGGAUGACUUGUGGCUGGGGGUGAAAGGCCAAUCAAACCGGGAGAUAGCUGGUUCUCCCCGAAAGCUAUUUAGGUAGCGCCUCGUGAACUCAUCUCCGGGGGUAGAGCACUGUUUCGGCAAGGGGGUCAUCCCGACUUACCAACCCGAUGCAAACUGCGAAUACCGGAGAAUGUUAUCACGGGAGACACACGGCGGGUGCUAACGUCCGUCGUGAAGAGGGAAACAACCCAGACCGCCAGCUAAGGUCCCAAAGUCAUGGUUAAGUGGGAAACGAUGUGGGAAGGCCCAGACAGCCAGGAUGUUGGCUUAGAAGCAGCCAUCAUUUAAAGAAAGCGUAAUAGCUCACUGGUCGAGUCGGCCUGCGCGGAAGAUGUAACGGGGCUAAACCAUGCACCGAAGCUGCGGCAGCGACGCUUAUGCGUUGUUGGGUAGGGGAGCGUUCUGUAAGCCUGUGAAGGUGU